AUCGGAGCGGCGCUAGCACCUCCUUCGCCCCGCCGCCAGCCAAUCGGAGCGGCGCUAGCGCUCCUUCGCCCCGCCCACCGCCGUUGCCAUGAAGGAGCAGCUCCACAGGAUGGAGGAGCAGCCCCCCAGGGGGAAGGAGCGGCCCCACAGGGCGGUGGGCAUGGAACAGGCGGCCCAGUGGGCACAGCAGCACUGCCAGGGCUCAGGGACAGCGCUCACAGCCAUAGGGGUUGGGUGGUGCUGUGUGGAGCCCGGCCUUGGGAGCAGUGAUCGCUGUGUAUCCCUUCCAAGUCAGGGUGCUGCAAAGCAUUGGGCUGUCUGAAUAUACAGCAGUUCACCAGCACAGUGGUGGUGGAACCAGCACAGUGGGAUGGAGCAGCUUCCUGGUUAUUCUGGAGCAGCAGCAGCUGUACCUGGGGAGAAACUUGAUCUGCCUCAUCGGUGCCAUUUCCACAUUGUGUCUGAUCUCAGAAGAAGGACAGCAUGGAUGAAUUUGUGCAACAACCCUACCUGCCAUAGAAGAUUAUAUCUGACAAGAAAAUCCACUGGUGACUUGUGAGCUACACUGGCCAUCCCCCAUCCACAGUGGUAAGCAGUCUUUUGAGACCUGCGAGAAUCUUUUUGGUACGCCUGGAAAUUAGUCUUAUUAUUUAAGUUUCUAAAGACAGAACAUAGAAUCCACCUUCUGUGGACUAAAGAAUCUGUUCGGUGCUUGAUUCUCAUCUUGGCUGUUCUACUAUAGUGAGCUUUACCACUUGAAUUCACUGAUUGAAGUUUUAAGCUGAAUGAAGCCUCUGUUUGUUUUAUUUCUUUUUUUGAAAUCUGUUUCCAAAAUUCGGAGUAUUUUGCAGUUCAAAAACUGUUCUUUGCUUCAUCAAAGACUUUAUUAAACUGACCUAUACCACCCUCCUCACAGGA